GGGGGUUUAACCCAAUUGGGGAAAACCCCCCUCUUUCCAACAGAAAUUCGGGAAUUUAAAAUUCCCAAACCCCCCG
rnacentral:tRNA from 1 species